UACGAAGGGGGCUAGCGUUGUCCGGAAUCAUUGGGCGUAAAGCGCGUGUAGGCGGUUCGGUAAGUCCGCUGUGAAAGUCGGGGGCUCAACCCUCGGAUGCCGGUGGAUACUGUCGGACUAGAGUACGGAAGAGGCGAGUGGAAUUCCUGGUGUAGCGGUGAAAUGCGUAGAUAUCAGGAGGAACACCGGUGGCGAAGGCGGCUACCUGGACAGAAACUGACGCUGAGGCGCGAAAGCUAGGGGAGCAAACAGG
rnacentral:rRNA from 1 species